UGUGUAGGCGGUUGUUUAAGUUUGGUGUGAAAUCUCCCGGCUCAACCGGGAGGGUGCGCCGAAUACUGAGCGACUAGAGUGCGGGAGAGGAGAGUGGAAUUCCUGGUGUAGCGGUGAAAUGCGUAGAUAUCAGGAGGAACACCGGUGGUGCAGACGGCUCUCUGGACCGCGACUGACGCUGAGACACGAAAGCGUGGGUAGCAAACAGGAUUAGAUACCCUGGUAGUCCACGCCCUAAACGAUGCAUAUUUGGUGUGGGUCAUUCAGUUGAUCCGUGCCGGAGCUAACGCGUUAAAUAUGCCGCCUGGGGAGUACAGUCGCAAGGCUGAA
rnacentral:rRNA from 1 species